GAUGAACGCUGGCGGUAUGCUUAACACAUGCAAGUCGAACGGACUCUUCGGAGUUAGUGGCGGACGGGUGAGUAACGCGUGAGAAUCUGGCUUUGGGUUCGGGACAACCACUGGAAACGGUGGCUAAUACCGGAUGUGCCGAGAGGUAAAAGAGAAAUUGUCUGAAGAUGAGCUCGCGUCUGAUUAGCUAGUUGGUGAGGUAAAGGCUCACCAAGGCAGCGAUCAGUAGCUGGUCUGAGAGGAUGACCAGCCACACUGGGACUGAGACACGGCCCAGACUCCUACGGGAGGCAGCAGUGGGGAAUUUUCCGCAAUGGGCGAAAGCCUGACGGAGCAAUACCGCGUGAGGGAAGAAGGCUCUUGGGUUGUAAACCUCUUUUCUUAGGGAAGAACAAAAUGACGGUACCUAAGGAAUCAGCAUCGGCUAACUCCGU
rnacentral:rRNA from 1 species